UAAAUAUUAAUAUAGUUUUGGCCCGGGCUUAACACGAUUAAACAUACCAGCAUAUAUUCUAGUUGUAGAUAUAAAUUAUAUCGAUUAGUACAUUUAAACUAGGGAAAUACAAAAAUUCUCGAGGUACCCCUGCCAAGCAGAGGAGAAAACCCGGGAGCUCCGCCUCUGUUUUUCUUAUUUCCUUUGCACUCAGAGUCUCAAACCCUUCUCCAUAGACAAACACCACCGCACGCAAUACCUCCAGUUACUUCAGUCCACUACCGGCGAUCACCAGGAUCCUUUGUGAGCUUAAUAUGAUGAUAUAUGGAUGAUAUAUAUGCUUGAAAAUCAUUGGAAAGACACCACAAGACAAGGUAUGAAAGGAGAAAGGACCAAUACUUAGCCGAAAUUUAGAGGACAACCUCUAGAGGCACAGGUACCUCAACUCAUACACCGCACAAGUAGGAGCCAGGUCAUACAGCUAUUGUUGGUGAGCUCCAGUUUGCUUCGGAGCUUUCCGAGUCGGUUCCUUAUGUUUUGUUAUUGUACAUGAGUCACGUGUGGGCGGGGGUUUGUCCCGACCCUAGUUAUGUCAUGUAUAUCCUAGAGGCUUUGUAGACAUAAGGAAGGGUAAAGUCAUGGAAGUUUAUAUAGUAACGUUAUAUUUGUAUAUGUGGUGGCCCCGACGGCCAAGUAUUAUAUAUAUAUAUUUGUGCGUGUUGUGCUGAUACAGGUAAUUAGACCUUUCUAUAUGCAACGAA